rnacentral:tRNA from 3 species
AGUAAAGUGCCUGAAUAAAGGAUUAUUUUGAUAGAAUAAAACAUGUAAUAAAAUUACCUUUACUG